rnacentral:rRNA from 1 species
GACGAAGGGGGCUAGCGUUGUUCGGAAUUACUGGGCGUAAAGCGCGUGUAGGCGGUUGUUCAAGUCAGGUGUGAAAGCCUUGAGCUCAACUCAAGAAAUGCACUUGAUACUGGAUGACUAGAGGACCGGAGAGGACAGUGGAAUUCCCAGUGUAGUGGUGAAAUACGUAGAGAUUGGGAAGAACACCAGUGGCGAAGGCGGCUAUCUGGACGGUUUCUGACACUAAGACGCGAAAGCGUGGGGAGCAAACAGG